GAUGAACGCUGGCGGCGUGCCUAAUACAUGCAAGUCGAGCGAACAGAUAAGGAGCUUGCUCCUUUGACGUUAGCGGCGGACGGGUGAGUAACACGUGGGUAACCUACCUAUAAGACUGGAAUAACUCCGGGAAACCGGGGCUAAUGCCGGAUAACAUUUAGAACCGCAUGGUUCUAAAGUGAAAGAUGGUUUUGCUAUCACUUAUAGAUGGACCCGCGCCGUAUUAGCUAGUUGGUAAGGUAACGGCUUACCAAGGCAACGAUACGUAGCCGACCUGAGAGGGUGAUCGGCCACACUGGAACUGAGACACGGUCCAGACUCCUACGGGAGGCAGCAGUAGGGAAUCUUCCGCAAUGGGCGAAAGCCUGACGGAGCAAUGCCGCGUGAGUGAUGAAGGUCUUCGGAUCGUAAAACUCUGUUAUUAGGGAAGAACAAAUGUGUAAGUAACUGUGCACGUCUUGACGGUACCUAAUCAGAAAGCCACGGCUAACUACGUG
rnacentral:rRNA from 1 species